GUUAUCGCUGUAGCAACCUGAAAGUUGUUGAAAUCCUUCGCCGUCGCUAAUAUCUAUCACAUUUCUUCAGGACUCCGUGCGCUCACAAUGACUACUUACAGGGCAGCAGAUUCCAAGAGAGAGGAGUUCAGGAAAUACCUGGAGAAGGCAGGUGUCUUAGACGCUCUCACAAAAGUUCUUGUUGGACUUUAUGAGGAGCCAGAGAAGCCAAACAACGCUCUAGACUUUUGCGCCAACAUAUUGGAGCAGCUGGUCCGGAUACAGCUGAUGUAGAAGCCCUCAAGCUUGAGGUGUCUGAACUGAGGGCUAAGUGUGAGCAACUCCAGGAAGAGAACAAUGAGCUCAAAUCAAAGAUGCAGCAAUAUGAGCCCCAAGCAGAGCAGGAGGCGCCAGAAAAUUAGCCAGUCCAUCCACCCAUCCAUCUGUCCAUCCAGAUUAUAUAUAUGUGUGUGUACAGUGAACAAUGUACAUAGAUGUAUAUAGCAUUAAAUCAUUCCAUCUGCAGUCGCCACUGUUCCAGCAUCUAGACACGGCUGCAGGGUUGCUUCCAUCAUGCUCCUCAUGACAUCUGUUGACAAGGACAAGCUGGGAAUCUGCUGCAUCCUCUGUCCCAGUAUCAGUAAAUACUGACCACACUGACCACUUGGUUGUAAUAUACCGAAUGGCAGUAUAUUCUCUCUUUUGGCAUUGUCGGGCAGGGAUGAACAAGAUAUUUAUGUUUCAUGGUUUACAUUGCUUUGACCUCAUGGUUUGAGCAGGCAAAAGUAAACAAAUUUGGUUAAGUUUGAAAAGAAUUGUGGCUGUCUAUGGUCAAGAUACCUUUGUGAUAUCUAAAAACGUCCCUAAGAUUCUUGUUUGAUUUGUAUUAUGUUUUUGUGAACAAAUGCAUAUUUACUUUGGAAGAUGGUUAAGGUGUAUUUUCUUUUGUUUUGAUAUUCCAUAGGUAAGGAUAGGAAGGCCACCACAGAGUGAUUAUUUGUUCCUUAAAUAUUUGUCUUUGUCUUUUUCAAUUUCUGUUGAAUUGACAACAUAUUCUAUUUUUAAAUAAAAUAAGUUGUAAAAGUUUGGGGCGUUUUAGUUACAUCCAUUUACUUGAAUUCAGUUGCCUUGUCAUACAUAGUCAGUUAUUAGCCACAAAUACAUUAUAAGGAACAAUUAGUUAAUUUGUUGUGGCUUAAAUUAUUCAGUGUCUCAACAUGAAUACCCCUUGUUAUGAAAGAGAUUCAAUUUCUGUUCAAGAUUGUGUUCCAGCAAAAUGUGUUUUUAUCUUUUUUUACCAUGGUUACCUGUUGAAAAGGUUAGAAAUGGCAAGGUACUCCAAAUGCUAAUGUGCAUUGACUACUGGGGAGGUAAACGUUUGUUUCUUACAAGCUAAUUAUUUAACUGUUCAAGUGUUACAGUAGUCGUAGUAGGCGCUGGUUAGCCAUUGUUAGUAACUUAUACUGUUUAUGUCAACUGAGAAGCAGUUUGUUCCAUUAAAGAAUUCUUCAAACCUUCA
rnacentral:misc_RNA from 1 species